UACGGAGGGAGCUAGCGUUGUUCGGAAUUACUGGGCGUAAAGCGCACGUAGGCGGCUUUGUAAGUUAGAGGUGAAAGCCCGGGGCUCAACUCCGGAACUGCCUUUAAGACUGCAUCGCUUGAAUCCAGGAGAGGUGAGUGGAAUUCCGAGUGUAGAGGUGAAAUUCGUAGAUAUUCGGAAGAACACCAGUGGCGAAGGCGGCUCACUGGCCCGGAACUGACGCUGAGGCGCGAAAGCGUGGGGAGCAAACAGG
rnacentral:rRNA from 1 species